AUACCAUAGAAAAAUAAAUGAGCCAAAGAUAGGGGAAGUGAUUUUUUUUGGAGGAAGAAAACAGAAAUGAGAACAAGAGGACAUGGAUGACUGCUGAAAAACUGACCAAGUUCCUCUUCAGUCUUCUAACAGAAUUUGGAAGAUGUUCUUAGCAUGCAACUGUUGGUUGAAAAAAACCCAAAUGUACAAGGGCCAUCAGUUCUUAAAAGUGGAAUAGUGCAUAGAAAGCUUAUUGACACAACAUAGCAGUUUGAUGAAAUGGACUGAAGCCAUUUCUGUGGAGUGGACUCGUGGAAAAUGUGAUGCCUGAUUCAUAAAAUUGUACACAGUUGAAUGUUGCUAUAUAGGUAAGGUUUUGCAAACUCAGGACUCUCAGG
rnacentral:lncRNA from 1 species